rnacentral:rRNA from 1 species
GUGGGGAAUAUUGGACAAUGGGCGAAAGCCUGAUCCAGCCAUGCCGCGUGUGUGAAGAAGGUCUUCGGAUUGUAAAGCACUUUAAGUUGGGAGGAAGGGCAUUAACCUAAUACGUUAGUGUUUUGACGUUACCGACAGAAUAAGCACCGGCUAACUUCGUGCCAGCAGCCGCGGUAAUACGAAGGGUGCAAGCGUUAAUCGGAAUUACUGGGCGUAAAGCGCGCGUAGGUGGUUCAGUAAGUUGGAUGUGAAAUCCCCGGGCUCAACCUGGGAACUGCAUCCAAAACUGCUGAGCUAGAGUACGGUAGAGGGUGGUGGAAUUUCCUGUGUAGCGGUGAAAUGCGUAGAUAUAGGAAGGAACACCAGUGGCGAAGGCGACCACCUGGACUGAUACUGACACUGAGGUGCGAAAGCGUGGGGAGCAAACAGGAUUAGAAACCCGUGUAGUCC